AUAUAGAGGAACACAGGGGUCUGUACAAGGACAUGAUGAUGGAGAAUCACAGGCCCCUCACAUCACUGGGAGGGGGAGUAUAUAGAGGAACACAGGGGUCUGUACAAGGACAUGAUGAUGGAGAAUCACAGGCCCCUCACAUCACUGGAUGGGCCCAGUAACGGAGAUACCCCAGAGAGAUGUCCCCGUCCUCUGUAUUCCCAGGAUUGUACAGAGGAGAAUCACAGGAUCCCACAGGAGGAUC